rnacentral:rRNA from 1 species
CGCACGGGUGAGUAACGCGUAGGUAAUCUACCCUUAUAACUGGGGAUAACAUUGGGAAACUGGUGCUAAUACCGGAUACACUUCUUAACUGCGGGGUAAAGGAGGGAAAGGUGGCCUCUUCAUGAAAGCUACCGUAUAGGGAUGAGCCUGCGUACCAUUAGCUAGUAGGCGGGGUAACGGCCCACCUAGGCAACGAUGGUUAGCGGGUCUGAGAGGAUGAUCCGCCACACUGGAACUGGAACACGGACCAG